rnacentral:rRNA from 1 species
AGACGGGGGGUGCUAGCGUUGUUCGGAAUUACUGGGCGUAAAGGGCGCGUAGGCAGCUCUGCGAGUCGGGCGUGAAAUCCCGGGGCUCAACCCCGGAACGGCGCUCGAUACUGCGGGGCUGGAGACCGGAAGAGGAGGGUGGAAUUCCCAGUGUAGAGGUGAAAUUCGUAGAUAUUGGGAGGAACACCGGUGGCGAAAGCGGCUCUCUGGUCCGGUUCUGACGCUGAGGCGCGAAAGCGUGGGGAGCAAACAGGAUUAGAAACCCUAGUAGUCC